UGAAUGGAUCAAAAUACUGCUUUGGGGCUGUUUUUUUUUUUUAGAGGAAUGAACAUGGUAUUACAUUUAAAAAGUCGAUUUUACAUGAUUUAAGCGCCUUAAGGAGCUCAUCUGUGUCUAAAGCAUAGUAUAUUCUGUUAACCCUGUAAAGCCCACUCCAUCAGAUUUUUAACAUAGAGAUGAAUGAUUUGAAAUGAAUUUAAAAUGAAUGUUUACAUGAUACAUUUUUAUUCUUAACAGUUCUUCAUUCUGAUUAUUUUUGUCCAGAUAAAUACAGCUGAGACAUCAACAUCCCAUCACUAUGGCCAGCCUUCAGCUCACUGAACAGAGGUUAAGGCACUUACCUUCGGUACGAUACUACGUUAACCAACGCCGGUAAAGUGGCAUCCACAAUAUCAGGGACAUACCACCUCCUCUGGAAAACAGGCGUGUGCUGACCAGGGCGGGGGGAUUGACAACCUAUGAGAGCAAUGGAAAAAAAACAUUUUCUUGUUCUUCAAAAUGGAUAGCUAUUAUUACACUUAUUUAUUACACUUAUUAUUAUCUAAAGAUAUUACUAUUGUAAUUGUAAAUAGAGUUAUACUUCGCAGAAGUGAAGGUUCUAGGUGAUCUUGGUGUGAAAAAUGCAAUCAACUCAAAUCAUUCAAUUUCACAUUUUUACACAUCAGAAACUGGGUUUAUGUAUUCUUUAGUAUCUAAAUCAUAAUUUAAUCCAGGUUUGAGCAGUCCAGGUCCAGUGGUUUUUGAACAGCAUCCAGUUCUAGCUGAUUGUAGUCGCCAUGAUCAUGUUUGUUUAUAAUUCCCUUUUUUUGGUCACGUGAUUAGUUAAGACGUCAUUUAGGCACACCUGUCACCGGUGUUAGUUUGGUUUGUUGGUUUGAUACAGAGAGGGUGCACAGGGCCCAGUAUUUUUUGUUGACCGCUUUUAUACAUGAUUAUGAACUCUGCUUUGAUGGAUCAUAUCAUAUCUGUGGCAACAACAAAGUGGAAUAAACCACGACACACAAACAAAGUUGAUUUUUUUUUUAUAUUUUAUUUUCAAGUUUAAGUGAACAUAUGAUGUAAAACAACAACAAACAAAGUCAAAGGGGAAAAAUAACAACAAGCCCAAAAAAACAUGACACUUGCAAAAGGCAAGAGGCCAAAAUAAAUAAAUAAAAGAAAAAGAAAAAAAAAUAGCUUGCCAGAUUUAUCAUACUAAUCUAUAAACAAAUACACAAGUAAAUGUUGCAGUCAGACACAACUUGUACAAGAGAGGGGGAUGCAAAAUUACAUUUGCGACCCAGGUCCGGCACCUCUUCAAUUGUAGUCCUGUUGUUCGGUGUUGUAGUUCAAGUUAUGUUGCAGCGAACCAGAAAGGGUUUCCAAACAGUGUUGAAUCUAUACUGUGAACCAAAUCUGCAGGGCCUCAGCCUGUCUAGCCCAAUGGCAUAUAUGAUCUCAGCCAGCCAGUGUUCAAAGGACGGAGGAGUUGUUGAUUUCCAGUUUAGAAGAAUACGUUUUUUGGCCACCACCAUUCCCAACUGUAGAACUGUCUGUAUAUGUUGUGGCAAAUGGGAAGUUUGUGAAGAACAUCCAAAGAUGGCCAGGUGGCUAUUGGGCUGGUUAUCCUUAUCAUAUGCAUCAGAAAAGCAUUUAAAAAUCUUACUCCAGAAACUGUGCAACGAUAGACAAAACCAGAAUAAAUGACCCAGCGUACCUUCUGAUGUUUUACACCUGUCACAGGUAGCCGAGACAGCUGGAAAGAUUUUGUUCAGCUUCGUUUUGGAAUAAUGCAGUCUGUGCAGAACCUUAAACUGAAUCAACCUGAGUCUGGAACUGAUGGAGGAGCGGUAAAUUUUAGACAGUGCCUCAUUCCAGAAACCGUCAGGUACCUCACAGUUCAAAUCUGUAGCCCAAGCAUCUCUAAUCGAGUCAGAGGGGACCACAGUAGAGAACCAAGAAACAAAUUUAGAUAUGAUCCGCUUGGAGUCAGGGGGAAGUGAGAUGAGCUCAUAGAGGGGGUGUGUAGUUGGGAGGUCAAGGCUUGGACACCACGCCCUGACACAGUGUCUGACCUGAAGGUAACGAAAACAGUUACAAAACAGUUUGUAAAAACCUCACCAAAACCGAAUUUUUUCAGCGUUGCUAUGAGAUAUGGCCAUUCUAUCAUAUCGAAAGCUUUUUGAGCAUCCAGAGCCAGUAUGGCUGCCUUGUCUUUCUUUCCAUAUUUAGGUUAAAUGAUGAAAAGAUUCUCGAGCACCACUUCCAGUGUGUCUUUAGGCCUUGUUUGGAAUUAGUUUUUGAUUAAUUUAUCAUUAUUAAAAGCUUUAAAUGUGUCACAAUGUUUCAUUCAGCUCCAAAUGGCAAACAGAACGGCACCAACCUUUUUGGUCUGCAGUCAACAUCCAGAUUUUCAUGUCAGCUUGAACAAGUUGCUCAAUAGUUUACAUGAAAGUAUGUAAUAGUGUAAUAGUGUAAAUGAAAGUUUAGCCAUUUUGUUAAGAAAAAGAGAGAAAAAAUAGAAAAUUAACAAGUCAAGGGUCAAGGAAAGGGACUGAAAGUAGGGGAUAUGAGAGUAGCUAAUGGCAUUUAAAUAGAGGAGCAUUUGAGGUGUGUUCAAUGGUCCUAAAGUGAAAAUCUCAUCAGCGAAUCACGCAACACAAAAACAUUUGAAAGACCACGAUUAUUAAAACAAAACUAAUGUUAAAAAGAACAUGUUAAAGUCAAUGUAACUAUACUUUUUUAUUUUUUUUUAUAUUUAUUAUGUUCCUUUAACAUUCUAACAUUUAUGAUUGUUUCUUUUUCAGAUUUAUUAAAAUAUGUGAAAUGACUAAAUGACUGUGUGCACAUCAUCAGACGUGUCCGGAUGUGUCACUAAUCUAUAUUUUUGUAAUUGACAGUAAGUCUUUAAAAUGAUUUUGUGUCAAGUGAAAUGUGCUUCAGGGCCACUGUGGGUGUGAGUUCAUUAGCAAACUUUUUGAUUUAGAGACACAUUUAGCUGGUGCACUAACAGUCAUCUCUUUUUCCAUCUCCUCGAAGAGUUCAUCAAGUUUCUCCUCUCUUCCCUCCAUGGCGAUGCUGGCCUCAUGGAGUCUCUCUUUCCACCCCUGCACAUAGCUCUCUUCAAGUUGUUUAGAGCUUAAAACUAGGGCCCGUAGGCCGUCCUGUGCGUAUUUCUGUUUUGGUUAGAGUAAAAAUAUUAUUUUUAGUGUUACACAACGUGUCUACAUUGCAUGAAUAAAAAUAAUGCAGUUGUACAUUUCACAUUGAGAUGUUCUUGGGUAGCUUCUUUAAGUUUGUUGAAGGAGUGCAGUCUCUCAAAGACAACUGUGUCUGCUCCUUUGCAGAAGAGGGAGGUUUUUCCUUCAGGGCUGCACACUUUUUGACCGUUAAAAAAAGUUAGUAAAAAAGCAUAUUAGUCACUAUGCAUGAACAAAAGUAGAUUCAUGAUGUUUCAACCUCUUGCAUUUAGAGGCUGAUAAACUUGUUAUUGAGGAUUUAAAAGGAAAGGAAAGAUAUACAGGUUAGUUGUACUUUAUCUCAAUAAAACACAAAACUCAGAGCAAUGAGGAUCAGUUUUGAUGAAAAAAUGUAUACAUUUAGUAGGAUGUAAUACCACGCGUGUAAAGUUUAUCCAUUAUCUUGCAAUCAAAAAAUGAUAUUAAAAAAUGAUUAUUAAUGGUUUGUUCAUAAAAAGCUGUUUUUUUCUCCUCUAUCAAUAGGUGGUUUUAUUUUAAUGUAUUAGUUUUUACCCACCUAUGACUGACAUCCUCUUCCGCCUAUUGCUGAGGUCCAGGACAGCUACAAGCUCAUACACAAUUUUUUUGCCCAUCUGCAUGACUGUGAUGGUCUCUGGUGUGUGAGAAUGCAACACAAAGCCAAAGCUCCUAUCUGCGGUUACCACAGCGCUCUCAUUAGGUAACUGAGCCUGGUAGUUAAGUGUAAUGGGGGAAAAAAAGCACUAUUUGUUUUACUUCACUAAGUAAACUUCUUAUUCUACAUUCACACUAGUCUCUGCAACAUGUGUUCAAGUGGCUGCUUCCAAACAAAAGUCCAUGGAAAUGCACGUUUCGGGCUGCCGCAUUCAAAACGCUCACAUUAAUGUGUCACUAUGGAAGAUUUUAAGUCUGUUUGUCUACGAACAAAACGUGCGGCCAUUGAACUAAAAGUAAAAGGAUUUGACAAUAAUUCUUCUUUGUUUAUUUGUACACAUGUUUAAUUUUGACUUGAUUAUCUAGCAAGAAAUACUGGAAAACUUCACCUGUUUAGUACUUAAGUAUUUAUCUCUGUCUAAAUUUUACUUAACUUUAGGUCAGUGAAUCGGAUCAAAUCAGAUUGUUCAAAAUGAACCAUUAUCAACUAUGAAUCACGUUGUCAACCACUAAUUAUAUGAUUUGAAAUGUUAAAAUGAAUAUUACACAACUAAAAAGAGUUAACCUGCAAAGAUGACCAGGCCAAAGCACCAUUCAGUGUUUUUCAGGGUACAUCCUCUUAGCAGCACUUUGUCAUUGUCCAGACCAUGAGUAUGUCCUUUCACAGUCAUGGUUCCUUUGAACUUUUCUAAACGGUUGUUGGGGGUUUCAUAUUGCUCUUCACCUGAGAGGCAACAGUGUUGUGAGUAGUGAUGACAAACCAAAGUAUUACAGUCAUCAAUGUCAAUGACCUGUUAGCCCAGUUUCUUAUUGUGAGCAUACACUGGUAAAUUGCAUGGUUUUCUGAGAGUUUUUUGCAUGUUUUGCUGUGCUUGCUUUUACAAAUUUUUGCAUGCUGCGAAUGGACACGCCCCGUUGAUGCACUUUCCCUGAUCAGCUGAAAAGCAACACUGCAGACUGGUUGGAAUAAGCAAGAAGGUUGCAAUAAGCCUGCAUUUUGGAGUGCCUUUGGUGCUGCUGCUUUAUUUUUCCACGCAGGAGCCGCAGAGUGUCGAGGAAGCCCAGCCAGAAGUGACACGGGAAAGGAAUGCGUGACGCUGGACACACGCAGAGACAGAGGGGAACUCUGCCUGCCAUAUGCUUUUGCCCACAGGUCCUGAUGCGUGUGACCGGAGGGAUCCCUGUCCAUCUUCUAGAGGAGCCGGCUGGGCGAGGACGCCCCUCAGUUUUAGACUUGUGACUUUCUUAAUUGAAUCUGCUUUUAAUCCUGUGUUUUAACUUUUUCUUCCUUUUAGAACUUUUUAUAUAUUUUUGUAGUAGUUUUUAAUCUGGUAUCUCAGAGGCCGUUACCAUGUUUUGUUAACUGUUUUUGUAAAUAAAGUGUAUGCUUUGGCCAAGGGUCUGGUCCUCUUUGGUAGCAUCAUGUGUGCUGUCACUCAGUCCAUUUUUCUUACCUCAUAAUAAUCCUAUUCCCUUUUCCAUCCAUAGUCAAACCUCCAGUCCUUACAUUAUGAACAAUACACAACACUUUACAUGUUUAGAAAAAUCUUUAAAAGUCAUACAACUCAUGUUUAACCAGUUUUAAACAUGAGUUUGACAGACUUUGAUAGAGCAGUGUCAAUAUAAUCACUUCAGGGCAUUUGUGGCUUUCACUGGACUUUACAAACAAAGGAUUAAAUCAGUUCUGUGGCUUUUUCAUUUUUAGCUCUCAGACUCAUCUUAGAUUUUUUUGUCAUAAACUUUACAGCUGGCUGCAGCAAUAUAGAAUGCAGUUGCAGAAAUGGGCUGCAUGAGGAGUCUGUUGCAUUAGUUAUGAAGUGCAAUGACUGGAACAAGCAGAGAGGCAGUAGGAUAUGAAACUUUCAUCUGCUGCCUUCCCUGUGCGCUGAGACUCUGGAGGAAAAUAAGAAAAAUGGCGGGGCAGACCGUAAUUAACCUGUAACCUGCAGUGGUAGAAAAAUAAAAGAAUGCCCAUGACGACAUCAACAAAACUCAAGGCUGUGUAAUGAACAGAGAAGACAGAUUAUCAAGUUAAUUAAAUCUUUAAAUAGCAUUGACUUUAUGAUUCCUGUCAGCUUUGUGGGUUCAACAUUUUAGCAUCAAGGGAAAAUGAAGACUUUAAGCUGUGCUUCUUUACUUUCUACUCAAGAAUAAAGCAGUCAAUGCUUUUGUUUUUUUCAACUCAUGUAAAAAAAAAAUAUUGGACUUUAAACAUGAAUAGUAGUUCAAACCAAGAAGAAUGACGAAGGAUCAGACAAAUCAAGAUUCAGUAGUCAUAAAAUAUUUUCUUAAAUCAUACAAUAAGCUUUAUGAAUGAAAGUCAGGCACUUAAGUGAAGCCAUCUAGUUAUAUUUUUGCUUUUUAAAUAGUUGCGCUUGUUUUAAAUAUUUUAGGAGUUUUGCAUUAAAAUUUGACUUAAGACGGACUUAACUUUUCUUCUUUUUAACAUUACAGGGAGAAUAAACCUAAAACGAGAAACAAAAUAUUUGAAAUUAUCAAUGAUAAUGUUACCAGAAUGCAGAAUGGCUAGAAUUAAGGAGACGGCAGAGGGGUGAGAGAGUUCUGAUUUUUGACAGAUAAAUCAUCACAAGGGAUUUUUUUUUCUCAUAGGUUAUUUUUUUAUUUAAUCCUGUGUAACUAAUAUUACAGAAAAUCCAUGCAUUCUCUACGUGACACCAAGGAUGGAUAUUUGUGGGAACUUUAGCAUACAUGUUUUUUUUUUUACUUUAGCAUACAUGUUUGGUGCAAAAUUCCCUCCUUUUCAUUCUUUUCACCAAAGUUAACAACAACAAAAACAUAGCUUGGAGGCCAGAGCCUUUAUUUGAAGUUCAUGUAGUCUCAUAUGACUGCUCUUUAUCGUGCAUAAUUUGUGGAAAUAUAAAAGUAAAUGACCUUUUUAAAAUUUCUCACUAAGAACAACAAAUUCCAGCUCAAAAUGUGUGCAUGUACAUGUCUGUAGCAAAAUGUGAAACAUAAAAAGGCUGAAAAUGUUUUUUUAAAAGUGAAAAAGAUGUCGUUAUUUCUGCAACAAACAGCCUCCAUUCUCAGGUAAACUAAUAGCUAAUGUCUAAAGAACUCAGGAAACUGGAUCUUUGGUGGAAAUUUGAGUCUAAAAACAACCCGAGUGUCUGCAGGAAAGAGAUGAACCUGAAGGAGGUACAAGGACAGAAUAAUUAUCCAGGUUUGGAGAACAUCAGCGUGUUAUCAUUUUUUCAUUUCUAUGUUUCUAUUAAGAAUCACAUUUCUGAUCUAUGAAGUUUUCCAUUGUCACUGGAUUCCCCCCCCCCAUCAUACUGUGCUACAGGGGGGACUGCAUAUAAGAAGCUUCCUGAAUAUAUUUAUUUUCCUUCAAAGCAAGUGUGAAGCUGAGGUUAUGCAGCAUAAGUGAUCGCUGUAACAGGAUGAAAUUUCAAGUUGCAAAGUCAAAACAAGGACAGUUCCUCAGAGACGUCUUGUUGAUGCUGUGGUCUCACAGACCACAAACAGCCUGUCUUGAUGUCUUGUUUUCUGAGGUCAGUUUGAUGUCGAAUUGGUGCAAGAAAGGACAGUAAAACCAACUACAACAUUUAUUUGUUCGCACAGAUGGAAUGUUUGCUUUUAGGAUGCUUGUGGAGAAGCAGGUCAGAAGGAGGAGUCCAUGACAGACUACAGAGAGUCUGGAGUGCAAGAAAAGCAUGUUAGGUAAGGGGUCUGCAACCUGAGUCAGGCUCUGGGACCACAUCUGGAUCUUUGGCUGAAGACAAAAAUGUCAUUUCCUCAUCUACGGCUGGAUAGCUCCAAUGUUGUUGGCCAUUUUUGUUGCACAGGAAAUGUUAGGUUGGGGGUGUGAGCGGCUGUAAGCUAGUGGGAGAGCGCAAACAGAUAGGUGAUGGAAAAGGGGGUGGCUUACUCCGUGCCAGCAUUCACGCUCACAACUUAAAGGCGAAUUAUGAACUUCUGCCGCUCUGAAAACGCUUUUAAAAGCCUUUUCUGUGGAGUAUAAUUUUUUACCAAAAGUCACUGGUUACCACCCCCCUGGUUUUUGGUGUGAGUGAGCUGGGUGUACAGAAGAGAGUUAGUUGGAUGGUGGUUUUAGGUUGACGGACCGCUGAAGCGAGUUUCCAAAA